GGUAGAAUGGCCGAGUAGGCAUUAGACUGUAAAUCUAAAGACAGAGGUUAAUACUCCUCUUUUUACCA
rnacentral:tRNA from 1 species